rfam:Cavia porcellus supercont2_48 genomic scaffold, whole genome shotgun sequence.
GAUUUAGCUCAGCGGCAUAAGCGCCUGCCUUUCAAGCAGGUAGUCAUCAGUUCGAUACCGAUAAAAAUUA